UACGUAGGGUGCGAGCGUUAAUCGGAAUUACUGGGCGUAAAGCGUGCGUAGGUGGUUUGUUAAGUCUGAUGUGAAAGCCCUGGGCUCAACCUGGGAACGGCAUUGGAAACUGGCUUACUAGAGUGCGGUAGAGGGGUGUGGAAUUCCCGGUGUAGCAGUGAAAUGCGUAGAUAUCGGGAGGAACAUCUGUGGCGAAGGCGACACCCUGGACCAGCACUGACACUGAGGCACGAAAGCGUGGGGAGCAAACAGG
rnacentral:rRNA from 1 species